GCCCAAGUGUCGUAAUGGUAGCCGAGACAGACUCAAAAUCUGUUGUCCGUAAGGACGUGCGGGUCCGACUCCCGCCUUGGGCA
rnacentral:tRNA from 1 species